GCCUCAACUGGUUCCCAAGAGGAAGUUCUCUACGUGUCUUCAAAAAGAGGCAAGGAUGUGCUGCCAUAAAGAUAGGUAUAUCCUCUGCCUCUAUAAAAGCUUUACCGUGCUUUACCAUCUUUCAAGAAGCAACUCCAAUGGGCCCUCCUCUACAAAGUCUUCCCUAACCCUCAAAUCUUCACAGUGCCUGCCUGCUCUCUCUUCUUCCUUUUAAUUCCCAAAGUACUUAUGCAUCUCUUAUGGUAGUUUGAAUCGGUAUGAUAGCUAGCCAUACAAUGUCCUCUCUUCCAUACCAGGAUGUAAGCUGCAUCAGAGGCAUGUUCUGUGUCUUUACACGUCCUGCUGUCACCAGCACCAGAAAAGAGAUGCUCAAAACACAGUCUUCACACAAAUCCUUAUACAAAUCUUUUAAUAAGAAGUAGAAGUUCAAUAAAUAUUCAUUAAAUUAAUAAAUGAAUGAGCACACUAAUUAAAUAAUUAAUUAAUUUCAUGCAACAUCUUACCUGGCUACAGCAAUUAACCCUACUCGUCAAUGCGCGGUAAAUGAAGGAAGGAUAUGUAUCUGAUGGGGCACAGUGGUGGGUGAAUGAAGAAAAAAAAAUCAGCUACUCCAGGUGCCUAGCAUGCAUCAGAAAUUGUGACUGUUCCCCAAAUGUUCAACAGACACCACCUUCAAACAGGACAUUGUUAGAUAAUGACACUUUCUGAUGUCCUUUGAUGUAGAGCACAUUAAAAAUAUUAUCAGAGGGAAAAUCUUUCUGUUCAAAAUCCCCCAACCUCUUCAACUGUGUAUUUAGUUUUCAUCAAUUAAAUUAUUAUAUCAUUUCAAUGGGUGACUUUUUAUAUACACUGGAAAGGUACUCAUAAGAAAAUAGCUUCCAAAUUGGCAAUUUUUAAAAGCAAAGCAACUGGUUAGGUGAGGAAUGCAUAAACAACCCCAAAAGCGGCACUGAAUACUUUUCUUUGGCUGUAUACGACUGAAAAACUGCCAAGUUCAUUUCGAUAAGCCUUUGUUAAAAACAAUAAACAUGCCUGAGCUUGCAAACUAUGCUGUUUUGAAGAAAAAGCAAUUGAGAGAAUUAGAAAAUGCUUAAAACUGGAAUGUCUAAUAGUCUAUGAAUAUGGAGGAAAGUGGGGGACAAAAUGUAAAGUGAGACAAAAUAACAACAGAACACCAUCUUCAUAAAUAAAUAAAAAGCAACAUCUUAUAAACUAAUUUAAUUAGUCUCCAAUACUAACAUGGUACCACUAACACUCUUAAGAAAACAAAUCAUCCCGUGCUUCAAGUUUAGUCACCAAGGUGAUCUCCCUGCAAUAAAGGAAAUGUAAUUUCAUUGACUCCAAAUGAACAUAUAUUAAAUAACCAAAUGUGGGAACUGCAAUUCACUUACAGUAAAAUGUCAGCUCAUAAAAGUCAAAGUAACUUCACCUGAAUUUGUUUUUUUGUUGUUGUUGUUGUCGUUUUUAGUUUUUUUUUUUUCCAUGAUUAUAAGAUUCUCAGAAUUGCAGGAUUGGAAGGAAGAUAGUUUGGAUCACUUAUGUUUAUUUUCCUGCUUAGGUAAAACUGAAAUUCUCUUGUACCUGCCUAAGAAAUCCUGGAAAAAUUCUAGUGAAUAAAUUGCAACUUGAGCUCUAUAGGAUCAAAGUUCUUUGUUUUGUUCAUUGACAUAUCCCAAAUGCCCAGAACAGCACUAGGCAUACAGUAGGCACUCAAUAAAUAUCUGCUCAAUUGAACUAAAUUGAAAAAUAUGCAGUGCAAUGCAAUGUUAAAUAAGUCACUUUGAAACUCCUUUCUUAGCUUUGUUUUGGUCAUAGUAUUAAUCACAAUAAACAAACAGUCCUCAUAUAAAACACUUCAACACUAUAAUUCAUGUUUUUACUUCUGAUCGAUCAUUACCAUAGAGGGUGCUGAGAAUCAGAAAAGACUCCAAGGAAAGAUGGGGGUAGAGUUACUCCCAUCUAUUUGGACUAAUUUUCUUCUUCUGGGCAUUCACCUGAGAAGUAUCUGUAUAUCCAUAAUAUAAAAAUAAUUUAAAAUAUUACUUAAAAUUAAAGGUUUGCACCUUUAAAAAUUGUGCCACAAAAGCAAUUUGAUUAAAUCAACCUCUCAUCUAUUUCAGAAUCCCAUCAGUUAAAAAAAAAAAACAUAAAAAAUAAGAACAGGAAAAUGAUGUGAUUAGGUGAUGCUAGUCAUAUUAUUUUUGCUCAAAAUGCCUAGAGGCAAUAUGCCUUGGAAAACUGAGUUAGGUGGGAAUGAGAAGAUCUGGAUUCUAGUGUUGAUUCCAUCACCAGUUAACAGUAUGAAUUCAGCCAAUCCUUGCCAAUCUGGAUCUGAGCUUCCUGGGCUGUAACGUGAAGAGUUUGAAUUUAGUAGAUGGUCUCCAAAGCCUUUCAGUUUCAAAGUUUCUCUAAACCCUGUAAUUAUAAGUGACUAAAUCCAGUUCACCUAAUUACUACCACUACUCUUUUACAUCCUUCAUUUCUUCAGCAAACAUCCGGUCACCUUGGGGGCGCAGGGGGUGGAGGAUGUCAAACACCAUUAGCCACAGUUUGGCACGACAUUUAUGGAGGGGGAGCGACAAACAAUGCAAGGGCAGCUAGCUGAUGAUUUUAACUGUUAGCGAGCUUACACCUGUGGAGCGAAUGUGUUUCUGAAUUUGAAAGGCCGGAAGAUUUUCCCCCUGGGCUAAGCUGGUGACGCCGCGGGAGUGCCUAGCUCUGAGCAAAGAACCAGGAAACAAACUGGAAAUCAAAGGAGGUGCAUAAUAUUGUAGAUUAUGAAAGAAAGAUAACUACAGGACUCCAAUCGGAGAAACCAUGCUCAAAAAUAGGCGUUGGUCUCACAUCAAAAGAUUGUAUUUUAGCAAAAAAGAGGGAAGAAGGAGAGAGGACCAGAGGGAGGAGGAAGAAGAAAAUAUAGAGAAAGCAUGUGUUGUGAAGCCUUAAUGAUUGCAGAAUCUGCACUGAUGGAUUAAUGGAGGUUCUUUAUACUGUUCUCUCUCCUUUACAUAUGUUUAUGAAUUUUCUUAAUAAAAAGCUGAUAAAGCAAGAUAUAGAAUAGUAUAUGGAGGGUGAAUUGUAUAGCAUAUAAUUAUAUUUCAAUAAAGCUAUUAUUUUGUAAAAAGAAUGCUAUAUAGAGUUUGCUACCUUUGGAAAGAUAAAUGUAUCCUACAUUACAUACAAUAUAAACAAAGAUAUAUUGUAAUACGUACAAUAAAAACAAACAAAAAAACCCUAAAAAAAAUGGCAGCCUCUACUGAGGUUAACACUGAGAGACAGAAGUGGAAAUGGUGACUCACUUCCUUGUGUAUCCUUCUAAUGUCUUAGAAGUCUGUAUUAUGUGUUUGUAUUAUCUAUCCAAAAAUUUGAAUCAGAAAAUUUAUAACUGAUGGGGAAGCAUUUCACAGCAUCUCAAGAAUCACAGCAAAAAUGUUUUAGAUUUGGUAAACGUGGUGUCCCUCAAUGAAAUGGCUGCAAUCAAAGGUUCUCAAAUCAGUGACUCCAGAGAGCAAAGCAAGGACUGAGGGACUUGGUGGCUGCUCUCAUGGGAAAUGCAACACUGCCAGUCACUGGUGCGGCCACUGGGAGUCUGCACUGACUGGACACCCUCUGGUAGAGCCUUGGCCCCAAGGCGACUGGUGAUUCCCUUCACUCAUUCAGCCCCACAGAAACAUAUAAAAUAGUUGCUCAAACCAGUGUAUAACAUGGCUACAUUUUCAAAUUGGCACUCGCUCUACUCCACCAAUCAACAAUAUUGAAAUUGAAAUCAAAAGUGAAAAGUAAAGUCAGUUGCUCUCUCCCAAAGGGAUUCUGAUGCCUGUGAAAAGACCUGCUGACCUGCUGGCUCACUCCAGCAAAAAGCACAAGAAGCCAGCUCUGCGGAAAGUAGGGGAAAGGGCAUCUAUUGCUCUGUGGGGCAAGGGUUGUUACCAGCUGACCUUUGAGAGCCCAUGAGUACAGCCAACUACACACAUAUUGGUCUUGGGGCUUGUUUCAUUACUUGGAAAAAUUCCCUUUAAAGGUUAAUGUCAAGAAAUAAACUCUGUUACAUUGAGUCCCAUGACUCAAGUGGACUUUGAAAAAACAUCUCUGGAAUGCUCUUUUCUCUGAGUAUCAGCCUCCCAUUUAAACUCCGUCUGAACUGAGGGCUUCCAAAAAGGUAUAUCGCUGAUCUGCAGGCCAGUAACAUACUCUGUUCAGUGUUAUGCAAGGAGAGUAUGUUUUUUGUCAACCCAGAACUCAAAGGCAGGGCUAACACCCAUGUAUCAUAAAGACUGCCUCAUACACUAACAUUCAACUAUUCAACUGAGAGGGGGCUCAAGGGGCUUUCUGAGUACCUAUAAUGUUCUAUUUCUUGAUCUGGGUGAUGGCUAUACAGGGUUGCUUGUGUGUGUAAAUUAAACUGUAAGCUUAUAAUUUGAGCCUUCUUCUGUAUGUAUGUCACCUCUAUUAAAAGCUGUAUUUAUAAAAACUCCAUUACAGAUCUACUGUGGUUCUUUAAUACUCUCCUAUGACCUGUUCCAUGCCUCAACUCCUCUUUCCUGUCUUUCUAAUAUACCUCAGUGUGAAGAGUUCUACUUUAUACACCUUGUAUUUCAGAAAAGGUUCAAUUUUUUCCAAACGAAUCUUGCAAUGCUUCAAAACAUGUUAAUACAACUUUGUAUGUCACCAGCUCCACCCCUUUUUGUGCCUGGGACUCUGGCUGG
rnacentral:lncRNA from 1 species